GAUGAACGCUGGCGGCGUGCUUAACACAUGCAAGUCGAACGAUUAAAGCCCCUUCGGGGGUGUAUAGAGUGGCGAACGGGUGAGUAACACGUGGGCAACCUUCCCCUCACUUCGGGAUAACUCAGGGAAACCUGAGCUAAUACCGGAUACUCCGGGAUGGUCGCAUGGCCGACCCGGGAAAGUUCCGGCGGUGAGGGAUGGGCCCGCGGCCCAUUAGCUUGUUGGUGAGGUAACGGCUCACCAAGGCGACGAUGGGUAGCCGAGCUGAGAGGGUGAUCGGCCACACUGGGACUGAGACACGGCCCAGGCUCCUACGGGGGGCAGCAGUGGGGAAUCUUGCGCAAUGGGCGAAAGCCUGACGCAGCAACGCCGCGUGCGGGAUGAAGGCCUUCGGGUUGUAAACCGCUUUCAGCAGGGACGAAAAUGACUGUACCUGCAGAAGAAGCCCCGGCUAACUACGUGCCAGCCGCCGCGGUAAAAC
rnacentral:rRNA from 1 species